rnacentral:rRNA from 1 species
CCUACGGGGGGCUGCAGUGAGGAAUAUUGCGCAAUGGGGGCAACCCUGACGCAGCAACGCCGCGUGAGUGAGGAAGGUUUUCGGACCGUAAAGCUCUGUCGAGCGGGAAGAAAUGCAUGGUGGCUAAUAUCCAUCAUGCUUGACGGUACCGCUAAAGGAAGCACCGGCUAACUCCGUGCCAGCAGCCGCGGUAAUACGGGGGGUGCGAGCGUGUUUCGGACUUAUUAGGCGAGAUGAGAAUGCCGGCGGCUUAACCCAGGACGUGCAUUUGAAACUAUUCGGCUAGAGUAGGGGAGAGGAAAGUGGAAUUCCUGGUGUAGAGGUGAAAUUCGUAGAUAUCAGGAGGAACACCGGUGGCGAAGGCGACUUUCUGGCCCUAUACUGACGCUGAGACGCGAGAGCGUGGGUAGCAAACAGGAUUAGAUACCCUUGUAGUC